rnacentral:lncRNA from 1 species
CCUGGCACAGCCUGUGGCCCUGACAGCUCAGCCUGGCCCGGCGGUCGGCUCCUCGUUGUCACAGCAGUUCGCCUAUCCCCAGCCUCCGAUACCACCCGGGCAUUUGUUGCCGGUCCAGCCAUCGGGCCAGAGUGAGUACCUGCCGCCGCACGUGGCCCUGCAGCCACCAAGCCCUGCGCAGCCCUUGUCUACCAGCGCUAGCGCGACCUCUGCUUCAGCGGCCAGCUUUCCUCUGGGAUCUGGCCAGAGCGUUUCUUCCUUGGGUGCCCAGAUGAUGGGCGCCUCUGCCCAGCCCAGUGAAGUCGUGGCCCCGGGUCCGGUUCCCGUGGGCCAGGCCGCUCCUUGUCAGCCGGCCGGAGUGGCCCCAGCUGCUAUAGGAGGCGUGGUGCAGCCUGGCUCUGGGCUG